ensembl:misc_RNA Metazoa_SRP Metazoan signal recognition particle RNA
GCCAGAUGCGGUGGUGCAUGCCUAUAGUCCCAGCUAUCCAGGAGGCUGAGGUGGGAGCACUGCUUAGCCCAGGAGUUCUUGGCUGUAAUAUGCAUGCCAGUCAGGUGUCUGCACUAUGUUUGGCAUCAGUAUAGUGACCUCCUGGGAGCGUGGGACCACCAGGUUGCCUAAGGAGGGGUGAACUAUCCCAGGCUGGAAAUGAAGCAGGUAAAAACUCCUGUGCUAGUUAGCAGUGGGAUUGUGCCUGUGAAAAGUCACUGCACUCCAACCUGGGCAACACAGUGAGACCCCGUCUCUU